UUCACUUGUUCGUCCCCUCUUCUAACAAACAGGGCUAACCCUGAUGCUGAUAAGUAAGAUAGGAUUGGAACGAGUUAAUGUUACAUAAUGAUUUAAUGGUGUUAGAGUGUAGAUCGUUACGUUUAGCAGCUCCUCAGAAGCCUCGCAGAGCAGCUGGAACAUAGAGCAGAGGACAUAGACGAAUGACUUACUUGAUGUCUGAAAGGUUGCGUUACGAAGUGAGAUUUUAGCCAGCUAAUUUUAACUCUCCACCUUCUGGUCAUCAUCAAAUUCAUGAUAAAUCAAAAUGGCGCACAACGGCAAAGAAAGGACGUUGUUGAUCGUAUAAGUCACCAAAUGCCGUUAUAUCAAAUAGAAUUGUUUCAACGAACAACCGAUCAUACUAAUAUAUUGAUCACCUCGAUGAGCUACACAGGGGUCUCUCUUUUCGAGCUCAAGCGAAUGCAGAAAAAACGCCCAGACUAUUUUUGUUGUGAGCUGUUAUUAGCUGAGUAGGCAAAAAGUUCACAACGGCAAACGAAACAUAAAAUCGCAACGAAUGCAAUCUCGGAAUCGGCAAGAGCCUGGGUCAAAAAAGCAGUGCUCGCUGGACUCAAUUUCAAAACGGGCAGCAGUAAUGGAAAAUUCGGGCUGAUCUCAACGCCCACCCCCAACUUUAGAUUUUCUUCGACGGACGUAGAACCCAUCGAGGCGUACGUAUCCUGCCAGAACAAACGUAUAGCUCAAUGGGUUUGAACUUUGCUCGGAAUGCGAAUUAGAACUUUCAUGAGUUAAAUGAGAAGUUAAAUGAGGAAGUUCGUUCAUUAGCUGACCACCAAGCAGGGCUCCGAGUGUUCAUGGGCGUGCACGAAAUCAGCGAGAUUCGCUACUGCCGUAGAGUUCCGCAGAAACGUUCUGCAGCCACAAAUUUGAGUGGCCGAUUAUUUCGGCGGACUAGUGCACUUCGUCGUUAUCGUCUUAGACUGCAUGCCCUAUACGUAAACGUUACGGCAGUAGAGUAAGUGACCAUCCUCUAUUCGACGACGACGACGACGACGACGACGACGGUAGUGCCACAAAAGAGAGAAAGAAGAAAAAGUCUUCAGGAAAUGGAUGUGCUCGCCUGGCAGCAUAGUUACGUCUGCGCGCUAGCUUAUAGCAGUAUAUCGUCGCAUGUCUAAUAAUAGUAAUCUCAACUGGAUGCUUCCACACUGCGGAUAAUAGCAAUCUUAGUCAUAAAUUGUCACUGCUGGUGCUUCCUGCUGAUAGGGCCAGUAUUUACGGCAGGUGCGGCAGAACACUUAACUACAUACCAAUUCAUGGAUUAUUUUUUGCUAGUGUUCCGUUGUGAUAUAAUUACCAUCGCUAUAAUUGGAUACUACACUGGAUAUGCAAAUAAAUGAAGAAGGUUGACCGAUUCUGUGAGACGUUCUCAUCAACGCCUACGGAACAUUUCUGUAGCGAACUAUAACCGUCAUUUUCGACAACACAGUCUCCAGUGAAUAGACGGCGUGGUUAGAUCGGUUAAUGAGCACCUGUUUGGGUGCGUUAUUAUACGAACUUUGAACGGAAAAACAUAGAGUCAAGCUAGUUGAAAUUUUAGUGUCGGAAAAUUAUUACUAGAAAUUGAAAAUAACAAUAAAAAAAAAUAAGUUUAGCCAGAGCCACCCCAAGGGCGUUCCUCUCAGUAGAGCGACUCUUUGAUGCCGAGCCGAAGCAAAGGUGACCCCGAGGACCUUUUGACAUAAUAAGAGUAAGGAAACGGUAAAAAAAAAUCUUUAACUAAGAGAUUGAUGGUUUUAAUGAGGUUUAGAUUAUGCACAAAUUCUGUGGCCGCUAGAAAAAAUCUUUUAUCUUAAAUGGUCGGGUCUCGACACAUCUUUUCUAACAAAGAGGGAAUUUUAUUAGAACGUCACAUUAUUAGAAAAUGAAAUUUCCGAAGUGUUUAUGAAUAUGUAGUCUAGAAGCCAUGAAGGGCAGCAGUUUUAAUCGUGGUCAAUGUUUGAAAACCCCUGUGCAGAGAAAAUAAAAAC